rnacentral:lncRNA from 1 species
AAGAACAUGGUUUUUUUUUUUUUUUUUUUNNNNNNNNNNGAAAAUGUGUUUUUUUUUUUUUUUUUUUGUUGUUUAGGCUUUGGAAUCUGGUAAGCUAUUUCCGGGCGGAAUCGUAACUGAAGGUAGUGCUGGGAGUACUGCCAUUAGCCUUGCCACAGUUGCUCCGGCUUAUGGGUGUCAGUGUCAUGUUGUUAUACCUGAUGAUGCUGCUAUUGAAAAGGUUUCAUGAUCAUACUCACUCUCUCUCUUCUGUGCCUUUAUACAUAUAUACUUACUUUUGUAUCGUUUUUGACUUGGUUUUAGUCUCAAAUAAUUGAAGCCCUUGGAGCUACCGUUGAGAGGGUGAGGCCAGUGUCUAUUACUCACAAAGAUCACUUUGUCAACAUUGCUAGGCGACGUGCUGACGAAGCAAAUGACUUAGCAUCAUCAAAGAGAAGACUAGCCAGCGGAAUCAAUAUCGCACACCAGGGAAAAACUAAUGGUUGCACAGCUGAGGAAGAGAAAGAGCCUUCCUUAUCCUCGGAGUCAGUUACAGGUGGCUUCUUUGCAGAUCAAUUUGAAAACUUGGCAAAUUAUAGGGCUCAUUAUGAAGGUACUGGCCCUGAGAUAUGGCAACAGACUCAUGGUAACAUCGAUGCCUUUGUGGCUGCCGCGGGAACAGGCGGUACUUUAGCUGGCGUUUCAAGGUUCCUUCAGGUAUGUACUUAAUCACAGCUGCAUGAAUGAUAUGUUAUAAACAAACAAAAGAAAAUAGGUUCAUAAAGUUGUUGUUCUUUGAACAGGAAAAGAAUGAAAAGGUUAAAUGCUUCCUGAUAGAUCCUCCUGGGUCUGGUCUGUACAACAAAGUAACAAGGGGAGUGAUGUACACAAGAGAGGAAGCUGAGGGACGUCGUCUGAAAAACCCAUUUGAUACAAUAACAGAAGGGAUUGGGAUCAAUAGGCUUACUCAGAAUUUCCUCAUGGCAAAAAUUGACGGCGGUUUCCGUGGUACUGAUAAAGAAGCCGUUGAGAUGUCGAGGUAACGUUCAUACUUCAUAUAUGUUUUGAAAAAAAACUGGGUUUAGUAAAGGUUCUUAAAUUAUGUUUCCAGGUUUCUUCUGAAGAAAGAUGGGCUCUUUGUUGGAAGCUCCUCGGCCAUGAACUGUGUUGGGGCAGUGAGGGUGGCUCAAGCCCUUGGUCCUGGUCACACAAUUGUCACCAUUCUUUGCGAGAGCGGGAUGAGACAUCUAAGCAAGUUUCAUGACCCUCAGUACUUGGCUCUGUACGGGUUGACUCCAACCGCAGUCGGAUUAGAGUUCCUCGGCAUCAAGUGAAAUGACAUCUUUUAACAUUAAGAUAGGUUUCAGAUUCAUCAAGCCAGCAUUGUUGAAACCUUGCUGUGAUUUCGUUGGCACCAGGGUAACAUAUUCUUUGUAGCUCUACGAAGGACUCUACAUUUAUAGACAAAGCUAUGUCUGGAUUCAACGGAAGAAAGUCAAAGCAACAAUGCAUGUGUCUGACCUCUGAGACUCCCAUAACUACUACAUCUUACACACGUCUUCUAUAUUGUCCACAAGUCAUAUAUGACGUAAUGGGCUCCCUUACCAGAUACAGGACAACAUGUUAUCAUAAACCUGUCUUUGUACUCAUUGGAAUCUUGUUUUUGUUCAAAUGCAUUCGAUUGGAAAGGUCAUGAUAUAGAGAGUCCUGUUGUGUAAGGUCUGAUGACUCCAUGCGAUCUAUUUGUCGAGAUCAGUAUUGACAAUACUACGUGAUCUAUCCACAAAUUAUUGCAUUCAUGUGUUUGUUUUUUAAUAAGUUAUAACUGCCCAAAAUAUAAAACAAACAUUUGGAAUCAAACUAUAUAUAUGACUUUCAUGUUGAGUUGACAAAAUUUCUUUCGAAAAAAGACGCUGCCUUUGAUAAGAAAUGGAAUGUGGUUAGUUAAUCCCAGCAGCUUCGACUUUAACUCUAUUUGCCAAAAAAGCAUCGAUCAAAUCCGAUGCUUUAUCAGUCUUCUCUCUUCUCUCAGUCUCAGGGCUUGCCUCCCCUUUUGGGUCGGGUCGUGUUCUUGAUUUGACACCAACUGUUUCAGCUUGGUCAGAGAAUAGGACCUUUGAGAUAUGUGAGCUGCAAAUCUCUUUGUAGGCUUCGUAGUCUGCAGCGCCAGUCUUCCCUCCUUCAAGGAUCUUGGAGAGAGGGUGAAUUACCGUGACAGGACCAUCGUCUGACUCCAGCUGCUCCUUGAUCUUAAGGAACUCUGAAACGAGUUCUGAGUUCUUGAACAAGACGAAAACAGCAGUGUCGUCCAAGUGGUAGACAGAAGUGACGGAAGUCGAACCAAAGGCUUUGCAGAUGCAUUCUUUGAUCUCUCUAGCCUUGAGUUUUCGUGGGAAGUUCCAGAUGAGGACUAUCUUCUCGUAUUUAAACUUUGAGACUCGCCAGUUCUCGGCAUUACUAUGGCUUGCUCGAAGGUCGAUGAUAUCUCCUCUUGCCCAGCUUAGAUAAAGACGGUUAAUGUACUUUUCAAGUUUCUCGUCCUGGGCAAUGUUCACUGAUGGAUGGUUGAAGUCGAAGCCUAGAUGACUACACGCCUGUGCGAAGAUGCAACCUGUCAUGAAAGCAUCAUAGCCAGCUUCGUGUUUGCCUCCUGCAUUCCACUUAGAACACCUGAAACAGAGGAAAUAAGUUUAGCCAGAAUGCAAUAGAAACGUCCAUGCUAAGAAUAGAAGAGGAACACAAACCUAACGUUAUCUACUUGGACGUCAAUCUUGACACGCUGCUGAAGGAAGGAGUCAGAGCCUCGAGAAGGAAGCUCGACUUGUGGACAUAAGGAGGAGAAGGCAGAGGAUAGUGAUGUACUGGACUUCUUCAUCCUCUGAUGCAACAUUGGAUUCACGUUUACGAGUAUUUUGGUGUCAACAAUGUAAGGAAAGUGGUCCCUAAUGGAGGCCACGAAUUCCUCAGCUGUGGAAGGAAGAGGUCCCACAAAUUUGCUGUAUACAUGUGCAAUAUCCAGGAUAGAAUUGUGGCCGACGAUCAACUUCUUCUCCGAAGAAAGCAGAUCAAUCACUUGACGGAACCCGAUUGCAGAUUGUAUUUUUCUUUCCGCCACUCCCUUUCGUUCAUCCUUUGCCUCCUUCUGUAAAAUACUUAACAAUAAUAAUAUGAGAUCAAAGUAAGCUUUUAAGCAGAAGAAUCAGUGACUGCUAGAUAAUAUCUCGAGCUUGAACUUUGCUAUCAAUCUAUCAUCAAAUGAAUUCACUCCAUCACUGUCAUCAGUAAAGAUCCAAGGACAUAUGUAUCUAAAUGGUAACAAAUCUUUGCAGCAAAAGUGUAAAUGGUAUAUAUUACCAAGAGAUUUGCCUUGUCGGAUUGUGAAUCAGUGUACACAACAAAGUCUUGUGAACUUUUAUCAUUCGCAUGUAUGUAGACAAGAUCUCUAAAAUGCUUUCCUAAAACCUGUAAAAAGCCAAAUCCAGAGCCAAAGUAUAUAAAUAAAAUAACAGUAGUGUGAAGAUAAAUUAAUCUGAGAACAAAAAGGCAUUACCAAUCUAAUAACUCUGAGCUGAUGAGAAGUGAAACCCUUGAGACUAAGAGCCGGACGCAUGUGAUAGAACACAGUUUCAGUACUCUGAGUUGAGCUCCCCGGAGACUCAGAAGAUGCAUUCCGACAGUGUAAGAGAUCAGACCGCCACUCAUUAAGCUUAUUCUUCAUCCUUUCAGCAAAAAGAACAUGAGCCAAUCGCACCAACUUGAAAUCAUCUGCUUCAACCAGACCUUCCUCGUCGUAUAGCAUUUUGAUUGCAUCAUCCUCUUGUCGUCUGGACAAAUAAGAGAUUCCUGGGAUUACUCAAAUAAUGUGAGAAUUCGAGGCAGAGUAAGAGAGUAUAUGUGAGAAUCCCUAGGAGAAAGAAGGCAAGGCACCUUCAUGGAUGCAGGUGUUGAAAUCAAAUUGAUACUUAGCAAGGAAGUCAAUGGAUGUGGUCUGGCAGAGAAACUCUUGGCGAGGAAAUAUGAAGAAGUUGUGCCUGCGCCAUAAACCAACCCAAUGUAAUGAAGUUACAUACAGAAAUGAACACUAGACACCUGGAGAGAGAGAGAGAGAGAGAGACUAACUAACGGGUGAGAGACGAAUGAGUGAGUGUGAGAAUCCCAUCGGAAGGGACAGACUCCGAACUGAACGACUGCGAAUUUCUCGGCCGAGUCUUUCACUUUGAGGUAUCUGACGUCGUAGCGGUCAAACUCCAACGAGUCUCGCCACGGAGCGCUCGUCACGCCAGUCAUCUCGAGGUCUAUCGCCACGAAAUCAGCUGCCUUCACAUGCGUACGCAGGUCAUUAAGCGUUCUUUCGAAGUUCGAUCUCGUCACGUGUUUCAACGGGAAAGCCUCCGUCGUCGGAGUUGUGGCUAUCUCCGCCGCCGAGGACAAGCAGAAGAAGCGUGAACGAAUCAAAGCACUGCCGAGGGGUCUCAAGGGCCAUCGCUUGUGCCGCCGCAUUUUUUUUUAACCGAGAAAAUGGCAGUUUGCUCCCCUUUUUUAGGUUUUUUUUUGCUAGGAUAGACGAUAAAACGGUGCCGUUUGCCCACAUUCAACCUUUCGAGUAUCGAAAUUGCACAGUAAAUCAAAACGGUAACCAUUUCUCUUUACAUGGCUUGAAACGGCGCGAUUGGUUUUUCCUGUUAUUAUUAUCAAACAACUUUCCCCUGCUCAGUUCCUUGUUAAUAUAUGUUUCUUCAGGACUUGAUCUUGAGAUGAUAUUGCAUAUAUUUGCACAUUCAUUGAUUUCCUUUCCUUGAGAUGAUCAUCUCUUUUUGAUAUAUCAUUUACUACCCUACCAUUUCCUGCUAACAGAUCACAAGAAAUUUUACUCUCUUUUUUGUUAUCUACUAGGUGUCUUCCUGUGCAGUAAAAAAAUUUAAAAUAUUUUUUAACAGAUAAAUAUAAAUUAUAUUUUAAAAUAAAAUUUUAUUAAUAUUGUAAGAAAAUUUUAGUAAUAAAAAUUUAUAAUUUAAAAAUAUAUAAUUAAAUUAUAUUUCGAAAUUUAUAAUGCCAUAUUUGAAUAUUAUUAUUUUAAUGAUGAUUUAUGAGUUAUUUCCAUAUUCUAAAAAAAUUUCUAAAAAUAUAAAUUGACAUUAAAUGUAAUAUAUGAGUUAUUACCAUUUUUUAAAAAAUUUACCAAAAAUAUAUAUUAACAUUAAAUGCAAUUGUCCAUGUCAUAUUAAGGUAUAAGACAUGUCAUCAAUUUUAGUAGUCAUGUCAUAUUUGUUCUGUGAAAUUGAUUGUAGAAAGGACAUCUGACAAAAUCACUUCGCAAAUAUAAUAUAGGAGGUUAAUAGCUCAAGUUAAUAUCUUUAAUCCCUUUUUGCUUGUCAUUCAGAAUGAUGUGAGCGACAUACUCGACCUCACAUUUAGCAUGGACACAGAUGAGGAAAACACACAUUAUUUACGAAAAGACAGAGGUGUGUGAUAAUAGAUUCAAAAUCUUAUUGAAUUAAUUUUUUUUUUUUACUGAAAAAGGUGACGGACUAUGAGCUAAAACUUGGAGGAAGAAAGGGUAACAGAGGAACAAAACAUGAAUAUGUUGUUGACCUUGUGGCCGGACACAUACUUAUACUCCCUCCGUUAAAUCGUUUUAGAAAAUUUUUUCGUUACAAAAUAAGUGUCGUUUUCGAUUUUCAAUGCAAAAUUUAUUAAUUUUAUGCAAAAUUUAUUUUUCUAUUGGUUGAAAUAUGGUUAGGUGUAUAGGUAAUAGUGUUUUUUUAUAGGAAACUAGUGGUUUGCCCGCCCUUCGGGCGGGAAUAUUGUAUAUGUUUAGUUUUAAGUUUGAUGAUUGUUAUGUGUUUUAGUUUUUAUUUGUUAGUAACAUGUUCUCCGAUAUUCUAUUAUUUAACUGUUAUAAUUUAUUUUUAAUUUAUUUUUAUUUAAUGAAACCAUUCUUUAUCUUCAAUUCAUCUUUUGUACAUAUUAAUUAUGUUUUUUUUUUAAUUUUGUUUAUAUAUUAAAUGUUAAAUGUUAAAUAUAGAAUGUUUAAUAAAUAAUAUAUGCCUAAAAAUGUUGUCGUAAAGUUUUAGUUUUAUAAUUCUCAUUAUUUCUUUUUGUGCUAAAUAAUUUAUUAUUUUCCAAACUUUAAGACCGAAAACUCCUGAGCCAAAUGUAACCUAUAAAUACUUAUCACAAUUUUUUUGUAUUUUUAUCUAAGUUUCAGAGUAUAAAUUUUUAUUAAUAAUGAACAUCAUUCGUAAUGCAACUUCCACUGGACCCAUGAAUCAUCUUUAUGCAUAAUUUGACGCGAAAGAGCUGCAUAUACUUUGCAUUGUCGGUAUAUCCCGUUAGGGUAUUUUUAGGGAUACACAAUAGUUUUUUUUUUUGAAAAAGGGUACGCAUGAGUUUAUCAUUUAAAAUUACAAAUUUUAUAAGAAAUGUGAUAGUAAGAUAAUGUAAAUUUCUAGAAACUCAAUGAAAAAUUUGAUAUGGAUUUUUAAAUGGUUCAUUUGAAAACUAUAAUGCACUUGAAUCUAGAAAAUUUCCCAUUUAAAGUUUCUAAUACACGAUUCUUAUUAUUACAUCAAAUCAUCGUUUAGUUUAUGUAUGAUAACCACCGUUUUUUUUGCUUAUUAGAGGAUUAAUAAAUUUAGAACACUAUAUAAGAAAUACAAAAGAAAAAUAUAUACUGAUCUCGAAGUAAAAAAGAUAUAUCACCAACCUUUCUAUAAGGUUAUAACUUAUAAGCAUACGGAUAAAAAAUAUGAAAGACCAAACUGAAGUUAGGUCAAGAUUUAGGUAGAAAAUAAUUACCACAAAGUCAUAGCAACUCGAGUGUUUGUCACUAACUAAUAUGAGUGGUAAAAGCUAAGAUUUGGAAAAGAGCUCCCCGGAUAUUUAAUCCCAAAACGUAAGAAUAUCAAAACCGCACGAUACCAAAUAUUUUAAGCUCUAAACUUUUCUCCCUGCCGAACAGAGAAAUGAUGACAAGGGCAAGGAAGGCAUUGAAGAAGAAGAAAGGGUUUACUCAGCAGCCAGAUUUGUAUUGCCAUGAUGGUUAUGCAAAUGCGCCCUUUAUCUGUUAAGAAACUAUUGAUGUUUUUAUUCAUAACGACCGUUGAUGAUUCUGGUUGAGAAAUAACACGCUGUUUGAGGACAUUUGUGUAUUUUAUAAAGAUGUGUUGUGUUUUGUGAAACACUGUUUUCAUCUUGUUUUAUCGAGGACUAUGAUUUUUUUUUUUAGUUUCUAAGUUUUGUUUCUUUUGAACAUCCUUACAAUAUUAGGACUACUAAGGAAACGUUUAGCCAAAAUAUUAGAUAAUAAUAUUAUUACAUCUCUUGCCAAAUUGCCAUUUGAUAUACACAAAAAUGGAAGUCAAUAGUGUUUUUUCUCCUUUGAAAAAAAAAAAAUACGAACAUGCAUGGGGGGAGGGGACUUGGCUUUGAGAGGGUUCGUGUCUGUUUUCUUCUAACAUAAGACAGAUAAUGUUUCUCCUUUUUAAUGGUCUCAAUCAUCGAUCUCUUGAACCCAUGCUAAAUCUGCAAGACAACAAAAAGACACUAAUCAUUUCCUAACUAAUGAUUGUCAGACUUACAGUAAACUGAUUAGGAUCUCAAGAUGAAACUACAUGUAAGAAGCUUUUGUAAUGAUACCUUGUAAGUUGUAACACAGUUUCUACAGCUGCAUUUAGGAUAAGAGAGGCCCACUUUUUGUUGAUUAUCCAUUGUAGUAUCUUUGCGUAUCACUCCAAUUCUCUUGUGGCUUUGACGGGCCUGCAAACGAACAGAAUACACUUUGUAAGUUGAGCCAACACUAAAGAGAGAGGCAUUACAAAUGUUCUAAGGUACUAUGCACAACCUCCUGAAGUUCAUAAGUGAACAGUGAGUUAGAUCUUUGUUAGAUGGUCUUGACAUGAUCAAGAAACGUAUUGCACUUCCCUGUAUCCAGAGUCAUGGCCAUCUGAUCCAUAAAACCAAAUCUUCAUCAUUAAAGUAUUUCUUAAGAUUAAUCUAUUUCUUGAGUACAUAACGUAACAUUUGUAGUCAUACCUUUUUUUUGCAGCCAAGAUUGGAAAGAUUAAUGGUAGGGGCUUGAAUUCCUGCAACUCUUUGAAGGUCAACCAUGGCUUCACUCCGGGGUCAGAUGAUGCAUCAUUCCUGCCUCAGGGGCUGAAACUGUGCCUGUCCACAUAAUGGCUUUCGUAUCAGCAGCUUUUGAUUUCUCCAGUCACAAGGCAUGAAGACCCUUUCAAGUAAAGCACCAGUACGUUUCACUUUUGGCGAGUUUCUGCGAAUUUUUGGGAGCCACUGCAACCCAGCACCUGGGUCAACGUCAGUUGGAGCAACAUGGGCCUGCACAUGCUCUAACAUUACAGAAAAUUCCAUCCGAGUCCAAGUCAUUUCAGGACUACAUUCUGGAACCUGGGCACUUCCAGUGCCAAGAGCCUGCUCAAUUACUUCCACACCAACAGAGUUUGAGAAGCAGUAACAAUAAUCGAAAUGAAGAGAGAGAGAGAGAGAGAGAGAGAGAGAGAGAAACAUCAUAUAUUCAUAUAUCGAAUGCUCCAUACUCAGAAUCUUACCUACAAAUUUCUUUGAGAAAACAAUCCAAACUCUGUUGUUUAUAUACAAAGAAAUAAGAUGGUGAAGCUUUGUGAUCUGGAAGAGUCUUCAUAUGUAUU